UCGGGGCCUCCGGGCCCGGCUCGGCCCGACCGGCGGCUCCCCCGCCUACUGCUCGAUCCCUCCCAGGAGGCUGGCCGCCCGGCCCACCUUCCCAAUCCCCAUGGAAGAGAAAGAGUUGCUCUCUCUCGAUUAACCGGCGGCGGAGCCCAUAAAGGUGUCACAGAAGGCGAAGAAGCUGACCGAGUGACCGAGGCGACCGAGCCACCGGCCCCCGCGUCCCCAGAAAUCCAGCAGAAUUGCCUCCACACAACCUCAUCUUCCGAUCCAGCGUGCGGAGAGGCUUCGGCUGCGUUCUCGGGGUCUCCCCAUAUCUGGGGGCCUCUUUGGGCCGGAGUCUCCCGCCCCCACAGAGGGACCUUCUAGUGGGCUAGCGACUGGACAAGUGGCAUCCGUCCUGAACCCAGCGCUCCCGGUUUGGCGUCCACGGUCUUCUCUGGAAAGACUGGUUUGAAGAGAAGAGCCCCCCGAGCCUUACUGGGAACUUUGGAGGAAAAGG